GUCCAUACCCCCGCCUCCCGCCUGGCUUUCACUUCCUUGCUUUUGGAGAGAAGAUGAAUGGAAAUGUAUGACUUUGUCUGUGGUAUAAAGACAUGGAUUCAAGUUCAGGGUUUGCCAUGGACCUGCCGUGUGACCUUUGGAAGGUCCACAGAAAACAUCCUGGGGUCCUGAGCUGAAGUGUGAUGGGAGGAGUCCUCUGUAUCUCAGUCUGAUCCUGGUCUCCCUCUCGGCCAUGGUCUCACACUAGUGCUGCUGGGAAACCAUCCCUCACAUCCAGUCCUGGCAUCGGGCAGUGACUCUGGUCCAACUGUUGUCCAACUCAAGGGUUUAGCUGCUUAGAUUUUCCUAAAACUUGAAUUUCAUUUUCCUCUAGCCAUGGAAUACAGAUUAAUCCUUUACAAUUAAAAUCCAAGUUCAGAUUUUAUUUGUUGUGGUUUUUAAUUAAAAUCUCACCAGCACUUUGUGGAUUUUUUUUUUCUUAGAAAGGCAAACACACUGUGCGUAUCAGUCAGCCUGGACUGCCAUCACAAAAUACCAUAGACUGUGUGUCUUAAAACAACAGAAAUGUAUUUUCUCACAGUUCUGGAGGCUGGAAGUUCAAGGUCAAUGUUCUGGAUGAUUUGGUUUCCAGUGAGGCCUCUCUUUCUUGCUUGCAGAUGGCUGCCAUUCUUCUGUGUCCUGUAGGGAAGUUCAAACUUUUCCUCUGAAGGUUUGAACAAACUGACAAUAUGCAGACUAAUAGGAGGAAGAAAGGCAUUCAAAGUUGCUAAUGUGCAUAAGCACAAGGCCACAGAAAAUAUGAGAUUCAAAGGAGCACCAGGCGCCUGAGGCUUAAAUACCCUCCUCAUAAGGGAGAGGGAAAUGGGGUUGUAGGCAAUUGCGAGGGGCAGUAAAUGACUUUCAGUAAACGCAUGAGCCCAAAGAACAAUGUCCUGGGACAAAGUUCCCCUCUGCUCUGGAGGACGUGGUGGGAAGGUGAGGGGUGGAACUUCACUGUGCACAAAGGUUGUCUAAUUAUGCAGAUAGAGUCUCCCAGGUGAUGUCUCCAGCUGCCCUCAGAAGAGUAGAUGAAAUUCUCUCGGGGAGUGGUGAAGACUCCUGGUCUCUCCUCUUCUCCCUGUGAUUAAUCUUCUCCCUGUGGUUAAUCUUCUCCCUGUGCUUAAUCUGAUUUCCAAAAUCAGAUAACGAAAUUCCAGAGUGCCCCUUCUAUCUUUGUUCAAUAAUGGGCCCAUAACCCCACACAUGAAUGCCUCAUCUGAGAAUAUUUUACUGUGCUCCCCUUGACACGAGAGAAUCUUCUGUAGGUAGG
rnacentral:lncRNA from 10 species